GACGGAAGGUGCAAGCGUUGCUCGGAAUCACUGGGCGUAAAGGGUGCGUAGGCGGCUUGGUAGGUCUGGUGUGAAAGCCCCGGGCUCAGCCCGGGAAGGGCACUAGAAACUGCCAAGCUAGAGUGCCGGAGGGGAGAGUGGAAUUCCUGGUGUAGCGGUGAAAUGCGUAGAGAUCGGGAGGAACAUCAGUUGCGAAGGCGGCUCUCUGGACCAGCACUGACACUGAGGCACGAAAGCGUGGGGAGCAAACAGG
rnacentral:rRNA from 1 species